GGGCCGUUAGCUCAGUGGUAGAGCAUUCGACUGCAGAUCGAGAGGUCGCUGGUUCAAUUCCGGCACGGCCCU
rnacentral:tRNA from 1 species